rnacentral:misc_RNA from 1 species
CAAAACCAAGCAAUUCAUCUUGGAUUCGCCAUGGAUGCCGCGAAGAGACUAAUACAGAAGGCGGUGCACCACCACCACCACCAUCAGCUCCAUGUGCAACGUGGCAGCUCGAAAUCGACGGACUUCGAUUUGCAAAUUGCUGUCCACUAUGGUAUCCCAUCUACGGCGUCGCUUCUUGCUUUUGACCCCAUUCAGCGUUUGUUGGCCAUUGCCACACUGGAUGGCAGAAUUAAAGUUAUUGGCGGUGAUGGAAUCGAAGGCCUUCUCAUUUCCCCAAAGCAAUUGCCUUAUAAGAGCCUAGAGUUUCUAGAAAACCGGGGUUUUCUAAUCGGCAUUUCAAAUGAGAAUGAUAUUGAGGUUUGGAAUCUGGAGAGCAGAUGCCUAGCUUGCUGUUUGCAAUGGGAUUCCAAUAUAACUGCAUUCUCUGUAAUCAAUGGCUCCUAUCUCAUGUUUAUUGGAGAUGAAUAUGGUUUGAUGUCUGUGGUGAAGUAUGAUGCUGAAGAUACUAAACUUUUACGGUUGCCAUAUCACAUAUUUUCAGAUCAUUUAAAUGAAGCAGUUGGUUUUCCAUCACUUGAUCACCAACAAAUUGUUGGAGUUCUUCCUCAACCUUGCUCUUUUGGAAAUAGAGUGCUGAUUGCAUAUGAGAAUGGACUGAUAAUUCUGUGGGAUUUUAAUGAAGCUCGAAUUCUUUUUGUUGGAGGCGGUAAGGAUCUUCAAUUGAAGGAUGGAAGUGUUGAUUCCCAAAGUGGAGAAGAUACUAAUCUUCAAGGCAAUGCAUCUUAUAAUCACUUGCAAGAGAAAGAGAUAAGUGCCCUUUGCUGGGCAUCUUCAAAUGGGUCCAUUCUUGCAGUUGGAUAUGUGGAUGGAGAUAUAUUGUUUUGGAAAACAUCAACCGGUUCCUCUGUUAGAGGUCAACAAAAUGAACCCUCAGGCAGCAAUGUUGUUAAGCUGCAAUUAUCAUCUGCUGAGAGGAGACUACCUAUUAUAGUCUUACACUGGUCUGCAAGCAAUAGAUCCAGUAAUGAUUGUGAUGGUCAACUGUUUAUCUAUGGUGGUGAUGAAAUAGGAUCUGAAGAAGUUCUAACUGUUCUGAAUCUAGAAUGGUCAUCUGGGAUGGAGACAGUAAGAUGUAAAGGUCGUGCUGACCUCACACUUACUGGAUCUUUUGCUGACAUGAUUUUGUUACCAAGUGCUUGGUCAAAAAAGAGUAAUCACAAAGCUGAUGUUUUUGUAUUGACAAAUCCCGGACAACUGCAUCUUUAUGAUGAUGCUAGCUUGUCUGCCUUGCUAUCUCAGCAAGAGAAGGAAACAUCUGUCUGUGCUUUGGAGUUUCCUGCAGUUGUACCUAUGGUUGAUCCACACAUGACUAUGGCAAAAUUCGCUGCAUUGCCUAUGGGUGGAAACUCUUCAAAAGUUCUAUCUGAGAUGGCCUCAGUUAGAAAACAAGGCACCACACUUGCCCAGGCUGGUGGUACAAAGUGGCCCUUGACUGGGGGUGUACCUGUUCAUCUGUCUUCAACAGAACAAAGAGUUGUUGAAAGAGUUUACAUAGCAGGUUAUCAAGAUGGAUCUGUUCGGAUUUGGAAUGCCUCUUAUCCUUUCCUCUCAAUUAUUUGCGUUCUAGAAGGAAAGGUGAAAGGUCUACAAGUUACUGGCUUUAGUACUCCAGUAUCAAAUUUGGACUUCUGUUCCCUCACUUCAAAUUUGGCAGUUGGCAAUGAAUAUGGACUGGUAAAACUUUAUAACUUCAAUGGCAGCUCAGAUGAGACAAGUUUUCACUUAGUGACAGAGACUAAGCAUGAAGUUUGCAUUUUGCCUCAAGAGGAAGGACCUCAUUGUAGGGCUGUUUUUUCUCUUCCUAAUUCCCCAAUUCGUGCGCUACAGUUUGCAAAUUCUGGAGCCAAACUUGCUGUUGGUUUUGAAUGUGGUAGGGUGGCAGUACUUGACAUGAGUUCAUUAUCAGUUCUCUUCUUCACAGACUUUGUAUCGAGCUCCAGUUCUCCUGUUAUUUCAGUGACCUGGACAAAUUAUGAAAAUAUUGGUAGCCUUGUAAAAAGUCCAAAGGAAACUAAUAUUGUAGCAAAUCCUGCAGAGGAAGUCAUGUUUUUCUUAACCAAGGAUGCAUUUCUUAAAAUAAUUGAUAGUGGUGGUGGAAUGAUCAAUUCUCAUCCAUGGCACCCAAAAAAGAAAUCAAUUGCAAUUUCCAUGUAUGUUAUAGGCAAGUAUAGUCUUCAAUUAGGAAGCAAUAGGAUCUUUUCCUUUCCUAAAUUUUGGUUGCACUUGCAAAUUAGGAAACUACGAAAAUUUUAUUUUACUUUUAUCAGAGUACAAUACUUCAGUCUCUACCUCAACCAAUGGAAAGCAUCUGGAGAAGGCUAACCAGGAUGUGGCUAUUAACAAGAAUCAGCCUGUGGAUGAAACUACUUUAACAGGGGCUAAUUCGCAUAGCAGUGAACAUCAUUCCUCUUCAGGUAUUGCACUCACAGGGGAAAGAUUAAUGGAUUCACUUAUUCUGCUUUGUUUUGAGGAUUCAUUGCGCUUGUACUCUACAAAGAGUGUGAUUCAGGGAAACAAUAAAUCCAUUUUUAAAGUGAAACAUUCGAACCCUUGCUGUUGGACUUCAACUUUUAGGAAGGAUGACAAAGUUUGUGGACUGAUCUUGCUGUUUCAGACUGGAGCAAUUGAAAUCAGGUGAAAUGCUUGCAAUGCAAAGAUAAGUAAUAUGAGAAUCUUGACUAUAGAGCAUAACUUACCAUCUUAACAUUAUGUCGUACCAAUAUUUUUGAAAGCCCUCCCAGCUAGCAUACUAAGGUCAAUUCAUUGAUAUUGUUGAUACUUGUAUCUGGGCAGAUCUUUUCCAGAUUUGGAAUUGGUGAAAGAAAGCUCCUUA